CCUACGGGUGGCUGCAGUGAGGAAUAUUGGUCAAUGGGCGAGAGCCUGAACCAGCCAAGUCGCGUGAGGGAUGACGGUCCUAUGGAUUGUAAACCUCUUUUGUCGGGGAACAAAGGCGUCCACGUGUGGCCUGAUGAGUGUACCCGAAGAAAAAGCAUCGGCUAACUCCGUGCCAGCAGCCGCGGUAAUACGGAGGAUGCGAGCGUUAUCCGGAUUUAUUGGGUUUAAAGGGUGCGUAGGCGGACAGUCAAGUCAGCGGUAAAAAUGCGGUGCUCAACGCCGUACAGCCGUUGAAACUGGCAGUCUUGAGUGGGGUAGAGGUAUGCGGAAUGCGUGGUGUAGCGGUGAAAUGCAUAGAUAUCACGCAGAACUCCGAUUGCGAAGGCAGCAUACCGGCGCCCUACUGACGCUGAGGCACGAAAGCGUGGGUAUCGAACAGGAUUAGAUACCCGUGUAGUC
rnacentral:rRNA from 1 species